rnacentral:lncRNA from 1 species
AGACCCACACUGCGCACAGAGCAGAGCCGGCGGCCACCUGAGCCGGAGUCUGCGGCGGGCGAGCCCGGAGCCGACCAGACUCAGACACAGAGCUGCCCCGGUACGGGCCUGCGGGAGACAGUGGCCCGUGAGCCGACUGGCAGCUGCCGCAUCCAGGAAUGGGGCCCCACCACAAAUGGAAAUGCUGGCCCCUGAGAAUGGCUAAGGACUUGGGGCAUAGCUUCGCGUCACAAGGGUAUUUUCCCCAAACGAAACUGCUUCAUUCGUUCGUUAGUUCGUUAGAGCAGCAACGCCGCCAAAAACUAGUAUGCACCAGCCAAAGUCCCGACUUCUUCGCCCUGGACCACGAUGUCCUGCUGUCACCUUCAGAGAGGUCCCAGCCUGUGGUGGCCUGCUCCCCGCGGCAUGGUUCGAGCUUUUACUUCCCCUAAAAAGAAAACCCAAAUACACCUCGUAAAGUCCAAUAAAGUCGCUCCCGAAGC